rnacentral:lncRNA from 1 species
GAGAAUUGGGGUGGGGCGCGCCAAGAGGAGCAAGCAUUAUAGAACGUGGGGAGCAUGAGAAAUACACGGAGGUGGAAACGCCGGAGUGGCUGGCGGGUAAAGGCAGCGGGCGCAGAUGAAGCGGGCUGGGCGUCCCACGCGCAGAACCGUCCCGGACAGAAGCCGCAGGGCUGCGCUGGCUGGAAAAAGGAACGCGAGUACAGCGCGCGUGGCGCGGGGUCUGCUCCAGGACGGAAUCUUUUGGGUGGCCCGCAUGAGGGGUUUGCAGGACCCCGGGCCUUUGGGAAGUUAUCUGCUAAACUCCAGUAGACCCUGAGGAGCAGCGGCUCAUGAAUCUUCUUAAACUUCUGUCAUCAGCGGCUGGGCCAGCUGAAGGUGACCAUGGCACACGAGGGAGAGAGAAGCCCGCGAGAGGCGGAGAAAUGUGGGGUCGUCCAGGAGGGUCGACAAGGCAAAGAACCUGAAGACGACCCAAAAGGAGUUGAACUUCCUCUCUUUUUAGAAGAAUGGAUUUCUCGGAGUCUGAAAAAUUUAUGGUUCUUCUCUGGAAGAAUUUUAUUUUAAAGAGGCGGCGAUGUAUUGCUUUAGUUGUGGAAAUGGUCCUCACAUUUCUGUUUAGUGCUGCGCUUUUGGCAACACGCUCUGUUAUUACUAUAAAUAAGAACGGACCUUUCGAUUUUGCUGCUCAGCCUGUCGAUGAAGUGCCUUUCUACAUCACAGCUUCCUUAAUUUCUCCUUCUCCUUUGGAAUUGGCUUACGUGCCUUCCAGAAGUACUGUGGUUCAGGGUAUUAUUGAAAGAGUGAAAAUGGAUUUAAACCCUCAAAUGAAAGGAGUACCAGCUCAUGAUAGGAGUCAGUAAUUGGAUGCUCUGGGCAGCCUAUUUCUUCACGUUCCUCUCUUUGUAUUUUAUUAUCAUCAUUUUUAUGUGCAUAAUUUUCUUUGUCAAGGAACCUGCACCAGUCAUCCAAAGCAGUGACCCAACGCUUAUCUUUAUCUUUUUGCUGUUUUAUGCCAUCGCCACAAUAUGCUUCAGCUUUAUGGUUAGCACUUUCUUCAGUAGA